rnacentral:rRNA from 1 species
UACAGAGGUCCCAAGCGUUGUUCGGAUUCACUGGGCGUAAAGGGUGCGUAGGCGGUCGGGUAAGUCUGAUGUGAAAUCUCACAGCUUAACUGUGAAACUGCAUUGGAUACUAUCCGGCUCGAGGAAUGGAGGGGAGACUGGAAUACUUGGUGUAGCAGUGAAAUGCGUAGAUAUCAAGUGGAACACCAAUGGCGAAGGCGAGUCUCUGGACAUUUCCUGACGCUGAGGCACGAAAGCCAGGGGAGCAAACGGG